CUCGCUCCACCGCAGCUGCAAAGGAAACUGAAGAUAUAAGUUUGCAAUUCCUUGUGGACAAUCAUUCAAACAAGGUGUUAUAUGCAGAGACAGGGAAGGCUUUCGUGGACCUUCUCUUUGGUUUCCUACAGAUACCUUUAGGUUCCAUUGUUGGAAUUCUUCAAGAAAAACACAUGAAUGUGUCUGGUUCCUUAGGUAGAGUUUUUGAGAGUGUAAAAGAGCUGGAACCCAGAUUUUUCCUAUCGCAAACAGUCAAAGAAUAUCUCUUGAAACCUGAGGUGGCCUCAGCCUCUUGUAUCCCUCCACUUCUCCAAAACUUUGUCAAUACAAAACAACUGAACUCUGAAACUUUGGCUACUUCACCCUUCGUCUUUGCGAGUCCGGGAUCUCCUUUAAUUUUAAGUCCGGCAGCGGCAGGGGAAGAAGUGAUGGGGUUUGUUAAAGAAUGUGAAACAAAGUAUAUAGUAAUGGAUGAUUUAAGGGUGUUCCCACUGUCAAGUAUUUAUCUUGUUGAUCUCCUCAAGAAAUUCAAUGUCAAUGAUACUAGCUUUCGGGAGGUCAAGAUUGAUCUCAACAAGUGCUUGGAGAUAGUGAAGGCCUCGUUAGAGUCUGAUACAGUUCUCACAGACGUGUUCAUUGGAAAGAAUUUCCCAAGAAAAGGAAGUAGAUUCAUCGCUACUUGAAGGAAGCAGAUCUAUCCAUAUUUAAUUUGAAAAAUGGUUUGUUUUUGUUUAAAUUGAGAGCCCAGUAUACAGAUAAAGAGACUUCGGCCUCUCUCUCCUUAGAGAGAGAUUUUUCUAUGUUUGUUUCUUCUCUGGGAGCGUCUGUCUCUGUCUCCCUGGAUUUAGCGGCCUCCUCUGCUCCAUCCGAGUGGAGGAGGCCUCCUCCUCCUCCUCCUGC
rnacentral:misc_RNA from 1 species